AGAGUUUGAUCAUGGCUCAGAACUAACGCUGGCGGCGUGCCUAACACAUGCAAGUCGUACGAGAAAGUUGGCUUCGGCCGAUGAGUAAAGUGGCGCACGGGUGAGUAACGCGUGGAUAAUCUACCUUUUAGUUUGGAAUAACGUACCGAAAGGUGCGCUAAUACCGGAUAAUACUGAGUGACUACUGUUGCUUAGUCAAAGAAGGCUUCUGUUUACAUGCUUUUGCUGAAAGAUGAGUCCGCGUACCAUUAGCUAGUUGGUAGGGUAACGGCCUACCAAGGCUACGAUGGUUAGCUGGUCUGAGAGGAUGAUCAGCCACACUGGAACUGAGACACGGUCCAGACUCCUACGGGAGGCAGCAGUGAGGAAUAUUGCGCAAUGGGGGCAACCCUGACGCAGCAACGCCGCGUGAGUGAGGAAGGUUUUCGGACCGUAAAGCUCUGUCGAGCGGGAAGAAAUGCAUGGUGGCUAAUACCCAUCAUGCUUGACGGUACCGCUAAAGGAAGCACCGGCUAACUCCGUGCCAGCAGCCGCGGUAAUACGGGGGGUGCAAGCGUUGUUCGGAAUUAUUGGGCGUAAAGAGCGUGUAGGCGGCUGAAUAAGUCAGAUGUGAAAUCCCUGGGCUUAACCCAGGACGUGCAUUUGAAACUAUUCAGCUUGAGUAGGGGAGAGGAAAGUGGAAUUCCUGGUGUAGAGGUGAAAUUCGUAGAUAUCAGGAGGAACACCGGUGGCGAAGGCGACUUUCUGGCCCUAUACUGACGCUGAGACGCGAGAGCGUGGGUAGCAAACAGGAUUAGAUA
rnacentral:rRNA from 1 species